AUUGAACGCUGGCGGCAGGCCUAACACAUGCAAGUCGAACGGUAACAGGAAGCAGCUUGCUGCUUCGCUGACGAGUGGCGGACGGGUGAGUAAUGUCUGGGAAACUGCCUGAUGGAGGGGGAUAACUACUGGAAACGGUAGCUAAUACCGCAUAACGUUGCAAGACCAAAGAGGGGGACCUUCGGGCCCCUUGCCAUCGGAUGUGCCCAGAUGGGAUUAGCUUGUUGGUGGGGUAACGGCUCACCAAGGCGACGAUCCCUAGCUGGUCUGAGAGGAUGACCAGCCACACUGGAACUGAGACACGGUCCAGACUCCUACGGGAGGCAGCAGUGGGGAAUAUUGCACAAUGGGCGCAAGCCUGAUGCAGCCAUGCCGCGUGUAUGAAGAAGGCCUUCGGGUUGUAAAGUACUUUCAGCGGGGAGGAAGGGAGUAAAGUUAAUACCUUUACUCAUUGACGUUACCCGCAGAAGAAGCACCGGCUAACUCCGUGACAGCAGCCGCCGUAA
rnacentral:rRNA from 1 species